AAAACAUAUCCAUAAACAUCUAUAACAGCAAUGAUUGCAAACAUGAUGUUUGUAGGAGUUGAAGAGAUUAACCAAAUGUGUGGCUUCAAUAAAUUUAAGCCCAGUAAUUAAGAAGUGUAGGUGGGCAAUGCUAUUGGAUUAAAAUGUUCUCCAAACUGCAAUGAAUGAAGUCUACAUUAGGAAACACUAAUAUAACUCCCCUCCUCCUUAAUGUCUGUCGGAGGAUUAAUUAAAACAAGAGCUGUGUGCCUGUCUUUUCCACAUGCUCAUUUUCUAUAUCCAUCUGUCUCUACUGCCUCUACUGCAUUUUAAACUCCCUAUUUUAUUCUUCCAUCUCUCUGAACAGCGGUGGAUGUGACGUAAAAAUCCUGAUAAUUUGGGCUGAGCAUCUGUAAAAGGAGUCAAAACAGAUGUAGUAAUACAAAAACAGCUACUGAAGAGGUCUAGAUCAUCAUAGAUCUGGACUUAAAAUCAACAUCCUAAACUUUUACUUUUAGCUGAUCUGAAUGUUACAGGAUUAAGUGUGUGUUUGUGGAUUUGUCAGUAGUCAACCAGGUAUCUCAAAUGUUUAGGCUUGGUUAGAAAUUGUGCUGUCCCACAACUACUAGCCUCCACAUGCACACUCCCAACACCAGACACAACUUCAGUCAUAUAAACAUUGCUUUGUCCCAACACUUACACUUACACUAACAAACAGGCUUACAGUUAAAAUACUACCAAGUGAACUUCAGCCUGACAUGUUCCGAUCAGCAGUUUAGACAUCUAACAAUAACUUAAUCCCACCACUUUCAUAUUGACCACUCUCUUCAUAAGGUCUUUCAGAUCCACCUGCUUGUCUGAUAUGAGCAUAAUUUAGUAUGCAAAUUACUGAUUUCUCCUUCUCCUGAGGCUAACAUUUACUACUUCUCCUCCUCUGUAGAUCUAUUUGUAACAGUGGACUUUGAUCUGUUUUGAAGCUCAAGAGCAAAAACUGCUCAUGAUGACCUAUUACAUAGUCCUAUAUUUCCCUUUUUUAUCCUGUGCAUGACAUGAGUGUCAUUAACCUCUGUGUUAUAAAUGUUUUGUAUUCUAUUUUAAACAGUUGCUAUCUCUGUCUCUGUGGUUUUUAAAAACUACAAGUUUAAUGUUCUUGCCGUUAAAAAGAUGUGACCAGUAACAAAUGAAGACCCUGCAUGUAUGACAGCACAUCUUAUUGCUUCUUCCUGCUGAUGUGUUUGCCCCUCAUCCAUCUUUAAUUUCCCCAGACAGAGUUGUCCUACUUCAUAAACAUUCCCCUACAGCUCUUUGCUGCAACUACAUUAACAUCCUCACGUAUGACCGCUGACUUCGCCUGCAGAGCUGCUUCUCUUGGGCUCCAUUUCUGCCCCACUGACACUGUGAUAUCAGCUAAGGACUCCUGUGACUCCACCAUCUGACACUUUUAAAUCCAAAUGGAUCUGGAGGAGCUAAAGGAAAAAGUGCGUCAGGUGUGUGUGUGUGUGUGCUUUUAUUCCAUGAGGGGUCCUUUGAUUAACCCCAGAAACUACUGUGUGUUGUCACUGCUGUUCUUUUGACUGGAUCACACUGGGCAGUGUUCACACAUACAGACCUGCUGCAUGUGUCCACUCUAAACUGACAGAUGGCCACAGGAAAUUACGUCUAUGCCAAGUACUCUGCAACAUAACUGCACCUGCUCUCCUCUGCUUUUACCACUAAGUGAGUCAUAGUGUUCGUCUCUGCAUGCAUGCAUGAGUGUGUGUGUGCCUUUUGUAUAAGGUGACUGUAUCCCGAUGACUGUUAGGGGCAGCUGGCCGUUGCAUCUGCCUGGUCCAAGAGCCCCGGGGCCUGCAGCUAAUACCUGUCAAAACAUUUUACACAUACAGUGUCACACGAGUGAGAGGAGCUCACAUCUGAGCUGAGUGGCGUGUGCACGCAUAAUGGUGAAGUAUGCGUUUUAGAUGAAAUUUCACUAUAAACAAAAUGAAUAAAGGACAGUUUUUUUGUACUCAUUCCUACAUAAGUGCCAUCGAUGAUGAUGUUGGAUGUAUGUUAUAUUAUGCUGUCACUGACAUACAUUGUUUUAUGGGGGUUUGCGCAGAGGGUUUUUAGCAUUAGUUUAUCCAUAUUUGUACUAUGCGUUAUGUAUUCAUUAUGUUUUAUGUUCAUGUCUGUUUUACAUGGCUGCAAGACAAAUCUACCCUUGGAGAAAAUAAAGUUGAAAUUGAAAUACAGCCAACAGCUAGGAGCUAAGGUAAAUUAUUUCUCCCACCCAAGUUACAACCUCUUCUUUCAUUAUAAUAAAUGUUAUAGACAGAAAAUAAUGCAUUUAAUAUAUUUGUAUAAGCAUUACAUGUGGAUGUUUCAAAAUCAAACUGCAUGACCACCAAGUACAGUGAAUGUUGAUGGGUGACUAUUCAUUUAUGGUUAAUUUAACUGUUACACAACAGUUUAACACAAAGACAUAUUACUUUAGACCAUGCAUGUGAAAUGGUUAUGGCACUAUCAGGAUGUUGAGUUGACGAAGCGUUUUCUCCGGCCAGAAUGCACAAAGCAAAGUCUUCUAAAAUAGAGAUGAGUGAAGGGCCUGCUUUAGCAACCAUGGUGCUUCUUGCCUUAAAAAGACAGGGACUAGUCUUAGAAGAGUAUCCAAUAAAUCAUACAUUUAGAGAUGUGUAGCAGUACUGGCACAUCUUUACUUCACAUCCUCACACUUUAGUAAGAGUAUGCAGUAAUAACAUAGUACAAAGUAAUGCUUUUGCAAAAAUGGAUGAUGCUUAAACUGUGCAGGUGUAGAAUGAUUUUGAACAUUUACGUAGUGAUGGAGAAUGUGGGCGCAGGGUAUAUUUUUAUCCUAAUUAACAUGUAACUAACAUCUAACUAAUUACAGGGGGAGGAUGAAAAUGAAGAGAAUGACGCCUGGUUUAGGAUUUAAAAUACACCAGGGAAAAAUGCCAUUUCCCAUUUCCUGUUUUGACAUGAACCUGAAAAAAACACGAGGAAACAAAAUCAUGAAAUAAAUUACCAAAGCUGACCAAACGUUUCACUUAAUUAACAGCAAGUCCAUGUGUCUUAUCUGACAAACCUGGGGGAUCAAAAAUGAAAGUGAGCAUCAAGAGUGACACUCACUUGUUUCAUCCCCUGUAGUGUGACUGAGCGGAAGACAACCACUGUGCCAUCUGGGGCACCACAUGACACACCAACACAAAGAUCAGGAUGUCACAACCGUUUUCUGCCAUUGUUCUCCAAUUGUGAUGAUGAUCCCUCUUUCCCCAACAGUGUUAAUUCCCAUCCCUACUCUUUCUUGACUGAAAAUGUGCCAAAACCAAGACAUGUCAAGAGGUGAUCGUCAAGUCUGACUUUCAAAAAGUAAUUUGCUGUAAUUGAAAACACGUUGUUUGUGGUAUAAGCUCACUCAAACUGCACAAAUGUUAUCUUGAAUCUCUAAUGCAACACCAGCGUUUGAAAAAAACUGCACCAUAACCAAACACUAUGUACAUGAGAAGAGAUGCAGAUGUGUUACUUUAAAUCAUGCAGAGUUAUGCAGUAUGAAGGAUGGUGGAGGGUUUAGUCUCCCAGGU